UACGUAGGGUGCAAGCGUUGUCCGGAAUUAUUGGGCGUAAAGAGCUCGUAGGCGGUUUGUCGCGUCUGCUGUGAAAACUCAGGGCUUAACCCUGAGCCUGCAGUGGGUACGGGCAGACUAGAGUGUGGUAGGGGAGAUCGGAAUUCCUGGUGUAGCGGUGGAAUGCGCAGGAUAUCAGGAGGAACACCGGUGGCGAAGGCGGGUCUCUGGGACGGUACUGACGC
rnacentral:rRNA from 1 species